CAGCGCUCAGGCCCCGACCCUCUCAGCCGCCGCUAAAGGAAGAUGCUUCUCCCGGCGGGACUGAGGAGACGGCCGGAGGACUGGGCGCCGGCCGCAGCGCUUCCAGGAUUCCCGGGACCUGUUUCUCAGGUUUAAGGCGGACUGGACUAAGUUCUCUCGAACGACGCAUGCCCUUUCCUGUGUGCUGCUUAAUACGGCUUCCUGAGCGAAUAUUAAUGUCUCUGCUAGCAGAGACAUUACUUUGCCAACAAAAGUUCGUCGACUCGAAGCUAUGGUUUUUCCAGUAGUCAUGUAUGGAUGUGAGAGUUGGACUGUGAAGAAAACUGAGCGCGGAAGAAUCGAUGCUUUUGAAGUGUGGUGUUGGAGAAGACUCUUGAGAGUCCCUUGGACUGCAAGGAGAUCAACCAGUCCAUCCUAAAGGAGAUCAGUCCUGGGUGUUCAUUGGAAGGACUGAAGCUGAAACUCCAAUAUUUUGGCCACCUGAUGCAAAGAACUGACUCAUUUGAAAAGACCCUGAUGCUGGGAAAGAUCGAAGGUGGGAGGAGAAGGGGACUACCGAGGAUGAGAUGGUUGGAUGGCAUCACCAGCUCAAUGGACAUGAGUUUGAGCAAGCUCCGGGAGUUGGUGAUGGACAGGGAGGCCUGGCGUGCUGCAGUCCAUGGGGUCGCAAAGAGUCGGACACGACUGAGCGACGGUAAUGAACUGAGCGACGGGGACUGGAAUGCAAAGUAGGAAGUCAAGAAACACCUGGAGUAACAGGCAAAUUUGGCCUUGGCGUACGGAAUGAAGCAGGGCAAAGGCUAACAGAGUUUUGUGAAGACAACGCAUUGGUCAUAGCAAACACCUUCUUCCAACAACACAAGAGAAGACUCUACACGUGGACAUCACCAGAUGAUCAAUACUGAAAUAAGACUGGUUAUAUUCUUUGCAGCCAAAGAUGGAGAAGCUCUAAACAGUCAGCAAAAACAAGACCAGGAACUGACUGUGGCUCAGAUCAUGAACUCCUUAUUGCCAAAUUCAGACUUAAAUUGAAGAAAGUAGGGAAAACCACUAGAUCAUUCAGGUAUGACCUAAAUUAAAUACCUUACAAUUAUACAGUGGGAGUGAGAAAUAGAUUUAAGGGACUAGAUCUAAUAGAGUGCCUGAUGAACUAUGGACAGAGAUUCAUGACAUUGUACAGGAGACAGAGAGCAAGACCAUCCCCAAGAAAAGGAAAUGCAAAAAAGCAAAAUGGCUAUCUGAGGAGGCCUUACAAAUAGCUGUGAAAAGAAGAGACGUGAAAGGCAAAGGAGAAAACGAAACAUAUACCCAUGUGAAUGCAGAGUUCCAAAGAAUAGCAAGGACAGAUAAGAAAGCCUUCCUCAGUGAUCAGUGCAAAGAAAUAGAGGAAAACAAUAGAAUCGGAAAAACUAGAGAUCUCUUCAAGAAAAUGAGAAAUACCAAGGGAAUAUUUCAUGCAAAGAUGGACUCAAUAAAGGACAGAAAUAUUGUGGACCUAACAGAAGCAGAAGAUAUUAAGAAAAGGUGGCAAGACUACACAGACUACUAUACAAAAAAGAUCUUCACGACCCAUAUAGCUCACUUAGAGCUAGACAUCCUGGAAUGCAAAGUCAAGUGGGCCUUAGGAAGCACUACUACAAACAAAGCUAGUGGAGAUGAUGGAAUUCCAGUUGAGCUAUUUCAAAUCCUAGAAGGUGAGGCUGUGAAAGUGCUGCACUCAAUAUGUCAGCAAAUUUGGAAAACUCAGCAGUGGCCGCAGGACUGGAAAAGGUCAGUUUUCAUUCCAAUCCCUAAGAAAGGCAAUGCCAAAGAGUGCUCAAACUACUGCACAAUUGCACUCAUCUCACACGCUAGUAAAGUAAUGCUCAAAAUUCUCCAAGCCAGGCUUCAACAGUAUGUGAACCAUGAACUUCCAGAUGUUCAAGCUGGUUUUAGAAAAGGCAGAGGAACCAGAGAUCAAAUUGCCAACAUCCACUGGAUUAUUGAAAAAGCAAGAGAGUUCCAGAAAAACAUCUAUUUCUGCUUUAUUGACUAUGCCAAAACCUUUGACUGUGUGGAUCACAGUAAACUGGAAAAUUCUGAAAGAGGUGGGAAUACCAGACCACCUGACCUGCCUCUUGAGAAAUCUGUAUGCAGGUCAGGAAGCAAUAGUUAGAACUGAACAUGGAAAAACAGACUGGUUCCAAAUAAGGAAAGGAGUACGUCAAGACUGUAUAUUGUCACCCUGCUUAUUUAACUUAUAUACAGAGUACAUCAUGAGAAACACGGGGCUGGAUGAAGUACAAGUUGGAAUCAAGCUUGCCAGGAGAAAUGUCAAUAACCUCAGAUAUGCAGGUGAUACCAUCCUUAUGGCAGAAAGUGAAGAAAAACUAAAGAGCCUCUUGAUGAAAGUGAAAGAGGAGAGUGAAAAAGUUGGUUUAAAGCUCAACAUUCAGAAAACUAAGAUCAUGGCAUCCAGUCCCAUCACUUCACAGCAAAUAGUUGGGGAAGCAGUGGCUGACUUUAUUUUGGGAGGCUCCAAAAUCACUGCAGAUGGUGACUGCAGCCAUGAAAUUAAAAGACCCUUGCUCCCUGGAAGAAAAGCUAUGACCAACCUAGACAGCAUAUUAAAAAGCAGAGACAUUACUUUGCCAACAAAGGUCUGUCUAGUCAAGGCUAUGGUUUUUCCAGUAGUCAUGUAUGGAUGUGAGAGUCGGUCUAUGAAGAAAGCUGAGUGCCGAAGAAUUGAUGCUUUUGAACUGUGUUGUUGGAGAAGACUCUCGAGGGUCCCUUGGACUGCAACCAGUCCAUCCUAAAGGAAAUCAGUCCUGAAUAUUCACUGGAAGGACUGGUGUUGAAGCUGAAACUCUAAUACUUUGGCCACCUGAUGAGAAGUGACUCAUUUGAAAAGACCCUGAUGCUGGGAAAGAUUGUAGGCGGGAAGAGAAGGGAAUGACAGAGGAUGAGAUGGUUGGAUGGCAUCAUCAACUCAAUGGACACAAGUUUGAGUAAACUUCGGAAGUUAGUGAUGAACAGGGAGGCCUGGCAUGUUGCAGUCCAUGUGGUCGCAAAGAGUCCGACAUGACUGAGCAACUGAAAUCAACUGAAUGCAUAUAAAUGGAAUCUAGAAAAGUGGUACUGAAGAAUUUAUUCACAGGGCAACAGUGGAAAAACAGACAUAAAGAAUAGACUUGUAGACAUGGGGAGAGGGGAGAAGAGGGUAAGAUGUAUGGAAAGAGUACCAUGGAAACUGACAUUACCAUAUGUAAAAUAAAUAGCCAAUGGGAA